GGAAGAACUAGAAUUUUUUUAACCAAUACUAGGCUGCUAGCAUAUAAAUAUCUUUUUAUGCCAGUGGGACUAUUCAAACCCUAACCAUCUCCUCUACAUCGCUGUCAGCCUGUCACAAAUCCUCUCUGUCUCCGGCGUUUCUAAGUCUCGGCGAACGCAUCUCCGGCUUCAUCAGACAUCAGUGCAUCGACAGCUUCAUCAGUUCUCAAAUACUGACUUGUUCGUCUUUGACGGGCGACGACUUCAUCAGUUCUUCCGUCUUCAACGCUCUGUUCUGUCUUUGACGCUCUGUUCCAUCUUCAACGAUCCGUCUCCGGCUUCAUGCUUUAGAAUCUUGCUGAGCAGCUCAAGUAUAGAGUGACAGACCUCAAUUGCGUAGUGGUUAUGCUUCAAAGCUUAUAUCUUUGUGGUCUGAUGAGUUGUUUUUUAGAUUGUUUGACGCUUUGACUCUUGGCUUGUUUAUGAGAUUUGGGUUUUCAAAUGUUGUGCUUUAGAAGCCUUUAUUUAUUCUGUUUUUUUUGUGAUUUUGAGGAUUUGCAAAUUACAGUUUACUGAAAAUUACAAAACUUAUUUAUUUAUUCUGCA